GGCCCCCUGAGUUCCCCACAAGCUUCAGUCUAGGAGGAAUGGACAAGAUCCUGACAGCAUCAGUUUUAGUCCUAGGCCUUCACCUAGCUGGGGUGAGUGGCCAGCAGAAGGAGGGACGUGAGCAGCAGCAGGUGAGGCAAAGUCCCCAGUCUCUGACAGUCCGGGGAGGAGAGACCGCAAUUCUGAACUGCAGUUAUGAGGACAGCACUUUUAGCUACUUCCCAUGGUACCAGCAGUUCCCUGGGGAAGGCCCUGCACUCCUGACAGCCAUAAGAUCAGUAUCCAAUAAAAAGGAAGAUGGACGAUUCACAAUCUUCUUCAGUAAAAGUGAGAGAAAGCUCUCCUUGCACAUCGUAGACUCUCAGCUUGGAGACUCAGCCACCUACUUCUGUGCAGCAAGUGCACAGUGCUCUCCAGACACCUGCAGCCCAUACCCAAACCUGCAGCUGAGGCUCCAGCAGAGCCCUGCUGUGGGCUGAGCCUGGCAGAGAUGCAGGGGAGUUUUCAUUUGCAGGAUCAGAUGAAGGGGUCACAGGGAGUGUAGGAUUAGUUCACUGGGCCAGAGACAGACCAAGCUGGAGUCACAGCUUGCCUUCUCCAGUCUCCCUUUGCAGCUGGAGUUUUACAUCUAUUUCCCUAACUAGCUUAGAUGGACGGCUUUCCUGAGUGCUUGUACAAAUAGUUCUCUGUGCGGUUGGUUUGUGGCAA